rnacentral:rRNA from 1 species
UACGUAGGUCCCGAGCGUUGUCCGGAUUUAUUGGGCGUAAAGCGAGCGCAGGUGGUUUAUUAAGUCUGGUGUAAAAGGUAGUGGCUCAACCAUUGUAUGCAUUGGAAACUGGUAGACUUGAGUGCAGGAGAGGAGAGUGGAAUUUCAUGUGUAGCGGUGAAAUGCGUAGAUAUAUGGAGGAACACCAGUGGCGAAAGCGGCUCUCUGGCCUGUAACUGACACUGAGGCUCGAAAGCGUGGGGAGCAAACAGG